rnacentral:pre_miRNA from 1 species
UUGAAUGAGACUAAGAGAUUGGGAUUUGGUAGGAUGAUAUUGAAGAACCUAAUUUAACGUAUCAAAUUACGACAAACCACUAUCAAAUUACGUCAUCUUUAUCCCUUUUUAAUGAGAGGAUGACAAAUCAAAUUUUUCCUCCUAAAUUUUAGUACUUUUAGCUGGAUUUGAA